rnacentral:rRNA from 1 species
UGGGGAAUUUUCCGCAAUGGGCGCAAGCCUGACGGAGCAACGCCGCGUGAGGGAGGAAGGCCUGUGGGUUGUAAACCUCUUUUCUCAAGGAAGAAGAACUGACGGUACUUGAGGAAUCAGCAUCGGCUAACUCCGUGCCAGCAGCCGCGGUAAGACGGAGGAUGCAAGCGUUAUCCGGAAUUAUUGGGCGUAAAGCGUCCGUAGGCGGUUGAACAAGUCUGCUGUUAAAGACCACAGCUCAACUGUGGGAGGGCGGUGGAAACUGUUUAACUAGAGUGCGGUAGGGGUAGAGGGAAUUCCCAGUGUAGCGGUGAAAUGCGUAGAUAUUGGGAAGAACACCAGUGGCGAAGGCGCUCUACUGGGCCGCAACUGACGCUGAUGGACGAAAGCUAGGGGAGCGAAUGGGAUUAGAUACCCCCGUAGUCC